rfam:Ciona savignyi cont_65921, whole genome shotgun sequence.
UAAACGGCUCUUUUUAGAGCCACCCAUUCAGUAUAAAGAGUCGUAU